ACGUAUGGUGCAAGCGUUAUCCGGAUUUACUGGGUGUAAAGGGAGCGUAGACGGUUGUGUAAGUCUGAUGUGAAAGCCCGGGGCUCAACCCCGGGACUGCAUUGGAAACUAUGUAACUAGAGUGUCGGAGAGGUAAGCGGAAUUCCUAGUGUAGCGGUGAAAUGCGUAGAUAUUAGGAGGAACACCAGUGGCGAAGGCGGCUUACUGGACGAUCACUGACGUUGAGGCUCGAAAGCGUGGGGAGCAAACAG
rnacentral:rRNA from 1 species